GAUGAAGAACGUAGCGAAAUGCGAUAAGUAAUGUGAAUUGCAGAAUUCAGUGAAUCAUCGAAUCUUUGAACGCACAUUGCGCCCGCCAGUAUUCUGGCGGGCAUGCCUGUUCGAGCGUCAUUUCAACCAUCAAGCCCUGCUUGCGUUGGGGUCCUGCGGCUGCCCGCAGGCCCUGAAAACCAGUGGCGGGCUCGCUAGUCACACCGAGCGCAGUAAUACAUCUCGCUUUGGGCGUGCGGCGGGUUCUUGCCGUUAAACACCCCCUUUUUACCAAGGUUGACCUCGGAUCAGGUAGGAAUACCCGCUGAACUUAAGCAUAUCAAUAAGCGGAGGGA
rnacentral:misc_RNA from 1 species